rnacentral:rRNA from 1 species
GGAGUUAGCCGGUGCUUCUUCUGUGAGUGAUGUCCUUCCUGCCGGUUAUUGACCCGCAGGCCUUCUUCCUCACUGAAAGUGCUUUACAACCCGAAGGCCUUCUUCACACACGCGGCAUGGCUGGAUCAGGGUUGCCCCCAUUGUCCAAUAUUCCCCACUGCUGCCUCCCGUAGGAGUCUGGGCCGUGUCUCAGUCCCAGUGUGGCUGAUCAUCCUCUCAGACCAGCUACGGAUCGUCGCCUUGGUGAGCCGUUACCUCACCAACCAGCUAAUCCGACAUAGGCUCAUCCGAUAGCGCGAGGCCCGAAGGUCCCCCGCUUUCCCCCGUAGGGCGUAUGCGGUAUUAGCCUGGGUUUCCCCCAGGUUAUCCCCCACUACCGGGCAGAUUCCUAUGCAUUACUCACCCGUCCGCCGCUCGCCACCAGGGAGCAAGCUCCCCGUGCUGCCGCUCGACUUGCAUGUGUUAGGCCUGCCGCCAGCGUUCAAUCUGAGCCAGAUCAAACUCUGA